GAUUCUCGGAGCUAAAAGAAGAGCAAGCAGCGGCGCAGAAGUUGAACACAAGUGAAGCUCACAAUGG
rnacentral:sRNA from 1 species